CCAAGACCACUGCCAAGCGGUUGCUCACUGAAAUUGUCUGUAGAUAUGGAGUUCCUGAAGUGAUUGAAAGUGACCAGGGCCCGGCUUUUACAGCACUAGUGACUAAGGAAGUCUGGGCAGCACUCGGGGUGACCCUUGCAUUCCACACACCCUAUCACCCACAAAGUAGUGGUAAGGUAGAACGCAUGAAUGGCACCUUAAAAGCCAGAAUGCUUAAGAUGGCCCAAGAAACUAACCUGCCCUGGCCAGAGAGUCUCCCCAUAGCUCUAUUUAGUGUUAGGUACACACCAAGAGGGAAGUUUAACCUGUCUCCUUAUGAGAUUUUGUUCGGUUCAGCCCCUAGGUUAGGUUGUUACUUUCCUCAACAACUCCAACUGCAAUCAGAUACUAUGGUUAAUUAUGUGACUGCUCUUUCCCAAGUUUUAAACAAGAUACAUGCCCAAGUGUUUUCUUCCAUUCCAGAUCCAGAGUCCGAUACAGGCACACACAAGUUGCUCCCUGGUGAUUGGGUUCUGGUUAAGAAGUUCCUGAGAAAACAUACCCUUGAACCCAG